UAUAGAAAACAUUGGAAUCUUCUCUUACUUUCUGCAUUGCUUCAUUCUGGGUGUAUUUAAUUUAUAUGUGGAAAUAUUUUACCGGGGGCAAAAUAGAUAGCACAAAGUUUUUACGCUCCAUCGGUGAGUAGCAACUAUUGAAGCCAAAUGCACUGCAAACAAGUCACAGGGCAUAUGCUAUAUGCACAAGCGAAAAUGUGGUAACUGAGAGAGCAUGAUGGUGAUGGUUGUGUAGCCAUGAUAUACUCAGCCAACCAGUUUGUGCUUGUUGCUUUUUAAAGUAGAUUUCGUUCAGCCAGUAGCUUUAAGCAAAUGAACAUACCUGCCUAAAAGACAAAAGGUAGGGAAGGGCUAAUCAGAUGACAAGACUGAUCAGGUGUGUUCUCUGGGAGGGGAAAUAGGUGAGCGUUACAUGAAUGGGGUCAUAUACAUAAUAAAGCAGCUUAACAACUCUUCUCUUUAGGCAGGUUUUUCUGUAUGUUCCCCAUCCCCUUCUGCUCGAUGUAUGGCAUCAAAAAUUUAGGGAUUUCAAGAUUACUUUUACUCUUUGUCCUACCCUCUCUUAUUCUCAGCAUGAACUGACAUCAGAAAAACAUGUCGGAUUUACAAAAGUCAGUAAGAAACCUUACUAACAUCAUCCAGUGUCCCAUAUAAUAACUGGGGACUGUUUAGAAAAAGAGCUAUCAGAAUAUUUGAGAUCUAGGAAAUGUGCCUUGGAAUGAAAGAGUUUGGUCUAUGUUUAUUGAAGAGAAUCUCAACAGGUGACUUGAUCAGUCUAUAGGUACCUAUGUAGGAAGAAUAUUUCUAAUAUUAGAGGUUUCUUUUGUCUCAGUCAAGCAGUGUUACAAGAUCCGAUGGCUGGAAGAUUGUUAGAAAACUUCAAAACGGAAAUAAGAUGACCAUUUCUACAGUGAGGGCAAUUAACCAUUGGAACAGUUUACCAAGAGAGAUUGGAAAUUCUCCAUCACUUGAAGUCUUUAAAGUCUCUCUAAAUGAUAUAUUCUAAUUCAAUCACAAGUUAUUGGGCUUGAUGCAAGCAUUAUUGGUGAAAUACUAUGAUUCUCAUGAUGUAGGAGGUUCAGAUUAGCUGACCAGAAUGAGCCCUUUUCGCUUUAAAAAUCUAUGAAUCCACAACACACAUCACAGAUAAAACAGGGUUAUUAUCCACAAAAUACCAUGAAAGCUUGAGUUCAUUGAUCCAUCCCACUCUUUCAUAUGCUACACAUGGCAUAAAUGCAAACUAUUUUUUACUCUUGGAAACUGAGUUACUUUAAAGUACUGGGACAUUAUUUAGUGUGUCACUUAUAUAUAACCUGGCAGGAAAAGACCCUUCUGUUUUUUAAAACACAUGGUGGUGGCAAUGGUGCUUUUAUUAUUAAUAGAAAAAAUAUUAUUAAUCAUCUAUAUUGCUGCUAACAUUACUAAUGUGUUCUCUUUCUGUUUUCUCUUUAGCUUCCCCUUACUCCUAUAUUCUGCUAGUGUGAGAUCUGUCUCUCCCUCACCCCAUCUUGACCCAUUAUCAAUUGUUUCUCCUCUCCUAUACUUUCUCCAAGAUACUGGUGUUCCAUGGAACCAGUGAGUUCUCCUGAGUAGCAGCUUGUCAAAGCAUCUACAGAUCUACCUUCUCCUGACUGACAGUCUCGGUUAAAAGUUGAAAGAAGUAUCACUUUGAAAACGUGAUGUGCAGGUGCCUGUGUAGCUGCACAGAAAGCUGUGAUAAAAGAUUGGACACUGAGCUCCAGAAUGGACUGUCCACGAAGACCCAGUUUCAGUAUCCCUGGUACCCACGAUCAGUACUGGAAAGAGACCGGCCCAGCGUUAGCAGGGAUCCAGUGCUAUCAUCUUUAGAAAUAUGAACAGGAAUAACUUGCAAACAGACUCUUUGAGAAGAGCUAUAAAAAAUCCAGUUGCAAUGAAUACUAUAAAUUAAAGAGAGAGAGCCUGUGAAAUAUACAGCAUAAUUUGGCAGUAGAAGUCUUCUCUCAAAAACAAGUUUAAAACUCUGUUCUUAACUAAAGUCUUGGGAUUUUAAUUUUUAUGGGGCCUGGAAGACUACUUUGAUCCUCUUAUUUUCAGUAGUAAAACAGAAUGCUGUGUUUCUGACAGGCACAUGGACUACUGAUUUUUAGAAAAAAUAUUUGUCUUCCAGACUUUGUUCCAAAUCAGUGAAAUAACUUUUGAAGAAUUACACAUGGUAAUCAGUACUUGUUAAUGGGAGAAUUUAUAAACUGAAUACCCUUAGCUCUGAAAUGACAGACUCUAAAUAAUGACUAAUAAAUCCUGAAACACGUCUCUAUUUUAAUCUAUCCACUAUGUAUUCUUAGCUCUUCAGAAAUAUUAUAAUCAAGUGUCAUUUUCUGUAAUUAUUAAAACCCUGACUUUAAGAUUGCACAUAGUUCAGGACCUCUGUCAAAAUCGAUAUAGCACUAAGAAAUGGAGCAGAUUACAGGCUGUAUUUGUUUUUGAUCUAAUUUUUUUUGAUAUCUCUAUCCUUCAUUUCACUUUUUUUGUUUGUUUUUUCUUCCCUCCCCUGCAUAGGAAGCCCUUACUUGGGAUUACAGGAUUGGGAAUUUAUGUGACAUUUUGGAUUCAGUAACAAAAGAUAUUAAGUCUUUAGCAGAUCACUGCAAUUGUAGAGUAUUUAGCAAAACCAUCAAUACUGAAUGGAGCAUAUCACUUACAGUCAGGCAUGGCUUCACUGGGAGUUUUGGCUGUAUCAAGAUUGCAAGCUUGGACAUUUCAUCUCUUCCUUCCAUUUGUAUUCUUUGUGGCGCACUCCACCCCCUUUUUUGCUGACGCUACUCAUUUUGAUUUUUGUAGUUGGAGCCAUUAUUAUUUUGUUUCAAGGGAAGUAAUUUAAUUUUAAAAAACAAACAAACAUAAAUAAAUAAAGCUAGCACUGCUGCUUUCCUAUCUUUAAAUGAAUGAGCCAAUUACAGGAAGAAAAACUACCUCAUAUGUUAAAUUACUCACUCUUCAAAAUGAAUACAGAAGAAACCAAAAGGGAAAGGAUUUUAAGGAUUCAAAAUAAGAAUUUGGAAAACAUACUCCGAUUCCUUCAGUGUAAUGAAUCACAUUAGCUUUGCUAACUGAAGGUCACACAUAACCAUAAAUCCAUAGUAAAAGGGCUAGGUCAUAAACUAUUUCUUUUACACUUGGCUUCCUACUAACAGCUACUAGAAAUGAAUUAUGUGGCCAAUUAUUAUGUACAUGGUAAUAGCUGACAUUGUAUAACGUCUGCAAUUUUCCAUUAUACCAAAUAAGCAAAAAUUCAAAUGUAAAAUGCCAAUACAUACAGCCAUUUUCCAAUACAAAGUGCUUCCUUUUCAAGGCUCUUUAGUUUUUUCUGAUGCUUAUGAGUGCGAGUCUCCUUUUCUGUUCAGUCUAAGCACUCAUAAUUCAGCUCGUGGUUUUUCAGUAUGCAAAAUGGAUGCACUCGAUCUGUCUGCAAUUACACUCAAGGAGGCCCCCUGAAAAUCUGACCCAUCUGAGUAGGCUUUGUGAAUGGCCCUAGUGGCCUUGUUGCAUUUUGCACUAUAGUGUGCAGCAGCUCCAGGUUUAGGAAUGACUGUAGCUUGCUCCUCCUGAGCAGGUGGAUCUUUGAAGCUUCUCAGAAGGGAGACUGUUGGGUUCAUGGCAGGAUGGCCACAGCUCCAUGACUGAACAGCAACGUUAUAGGAAGCGCUAGUCAGCUACUUUCCUCGCAAAAGGAAUAUGCUGUGAGUAUCCCUGUCGAAGUGAGAAGGUUCAUGAGGAGAAUAGUUCUCAACCUUAGAAGAAAAUGGACAGAGAUCCUUAAAAGCUUCAGUUGCAGAGAGAGGGAAAUCAGUGCAAAAUGUUUAAAUUGUAAAUAUGUUACACGUGUACUAACUAAAGCACGUGAGUGCCUUCUGGGACAUAGGCUUCAUUUUUAUAUUUCUCUAAACUUAGGUUCAUUGUACUGGUUUGAGUGGCAGAAUCUCAGAUAUAUAGAAAAUGGAAAAACUUCAAAAGUGAUUGUUACAGUCUCUGUUUGGGUAUGCUAGUCGCCCGAGGGAAUAAAAAUCACCUUCGUUUGUGCAUUUUGUGAUGGCAAAUUUGACAGUCUUUUGAGAAUUAGGGUGGGGUUUUUGGCUUGUUAUCUGAUUUAUUAAAAUAUAACAUUGUUAAACACAUUCGGCAUGAACUUCAAACUUUCGACUUCAGCUGCUAACAUUAAACCAAAAAUAAAACGCAUCCUUUGACUAUAGUUGUUGGACUUGGAUCAGUCACGCUUUGAAGAAGGAGGAGGUGUGUUCUGCAUAAAUCUGGGCUAGACUUAAA